rnacentral:rRNA from 1 species
CCUACGGGGGGCAGCAGUGGGGAAGUAUUGGACAAUGGGCGAAAGCCUGAUCCAGCAAUGCCGCGUGAGUGAUGAAGGCCUUCGGGUCGUAAAGCUCUUUUACCAGGGAUGAUAAUGACAGUACCUGGAGAAUAAGCUCCGGCUAACUCCGUGCCAGCAGCCGCGGUAAUACGGAGGGAGCUAGCGUUGUUCGGAAUUACUGGGCGUAAAGAGUACGUAGGCGGUUAUUCAAGUCAGAGGUGAAAGCCCGGGGCUCAACCCCGGAACUGCCUUUGAAACUAGAUAACUAGAGUCUUGGAGAGGUUAGUGGAAUUCCGAGUGUAGAGGUGAAAUUCGUAGAUAUUCGGAAGAACACCAGUGGCGAAGGCGACUAACUGGACAAGUACUGACGCUGAGGUACGAAAGCGUGGGGAGCAAACAGGAUUAGAUACCCUGGUAGUCCACGCCGUAAACGAUGAUAACUAGUUGUUCGGUCACUUGGUGACUGAGUGACGCAGCUAACGCAUUAAGUUAUCCGCCUGGGGAGUACGGUCGCAGNUAAACUCAAGGAAUUGACGGCUGAGACNGCGACGACGACGACGAGGAGAG